rnacentral:rRNA from 1 species
GAUCCUGGCUCAGAUUGAACGCUGGCGGCGUGCUUAACACAUGCAAGUCGUACGCGAAAGGGACUUCGGUCCCGAGUAAAGUGGCGCACGGGUGAGUAACACGUGGAUAAUCUGCCUCUAUGAUGGGGAUAACAGUUGGAAACGACUGCUAAUACCGAAUACGCUCAUGAUGAACUUUGUGAGGAAAAGGUAGGGCCUCUGCUUGCAAGCUAUCGCAUAGAGAUGAGUCCGCG